rnacentral:rRNA from 1 species
GCAAGUCGAACGAGAACGGGCUUCGGCCUUAGUAAAGUGGCGCACGGGUGAGUAACGCGUGGGUAAUCUACCCUUUGGCGGGGGAUAACACUUCGAAAGAGGUGCUAAUACCGCAUAAGACCACGUCCUCGAGGGGAAGUGGGAAAAGAUGGGGAUCUUCGGACCUGUCACCAGAGGAUGAGCCCGCGUACCAUUAGAUAGUUGGUGGGGUAAUGGCCUACCAAGUCAGAGAUGGUUAGCUGGUCUGAGAGGAUGAUC